AAAAAGGGAAAUUCUGAACAAAGGGGGGUGCGGAUAUGGACCAGACUAGCUUCUGCGCAUUCCUGUCCACUCAUGAGAAGAAAUUUUAUUAUUUUAUCUGAAUUCUGUGUUCUGUGUAUUUCCUUUGGAGAUUUCUGCAACAGAAGUACUACUGAGCCAUAAAGAAAGAGAAACUAGAGUCAUUUAUAUCGAAAUGGCUGCAUAUUGAGGCCAUAAUCUAAAGUGAAAUUAAUAGGACACACAUGUGAAAAUACUGAAUAGUAUCUCUAGUGUGAGAAACUGAAAGUGUAAAUAAGGAUGAAAAUGAUUAAAAUGAAUAAUUGAUAAUUUGAAAUAGGAAAAGAUACAAAGGUGGAGGGGUGUCAGGAGGGGAAGGGGAAAGGAAAGAAAGGAAAGGAGAAAUUAUGAGAAAGAAAGAAAAAAUGGAAAUAAAGUCUAUGUAAAUAAGGGUGGUGGGGGUGAAGAGCACAUAGGUAAUGGGGAAAAAAAUAAGAACUAAGAUAUAUUAUGUUCAGGUACAAACACCCAAUGAUAAAUGUAAAUGUAUUGUAUACCUAAAAUGUACCAAUUAAUAUAUAAAUAAAAAAUGCCUGAGUACCAUAUGUAAUUGCAUUUCUAAUAUUUUUUGAAGGAAGCCCUACAUUCUUUCUGAUACACAAUAAUAUUACUUUUGUUUUUCCUUUUCCUUUUUAUUGCUACAUGUUUGCAGUAGAUAAUGAUUGCAUUCCUUGCGGGGCAUUCAAACAUAUACAUAACAAAGUCAAGAAAAAGGUAUUGUAACAUAAAGUGCUUCAUAACCCUCCCAUAAAUUUGUCCCAUGGAAAGAAAAAUGAAUAUGUAACAAGGUAAAAGAGCAUCUCAAUUUUAUACAGAAGUGAUGUUCCUGCAUAAGGCAUACUGCUUCGGAUGUAAUUAGCUCUGAAGGAUUUUAAAGAAAAAGUCCCCUGGGUGUGGCAUCAGCCUGCCCCAGUGCACAUCCAUCUAUACAGACUUAUGAGAAGAGCACAAAGUCCCUGCACACUCCAUUUCCAUCUUUGAUAUGUUUAUUGUUUCAGGGUCAGAUCUUGGUUUAAUCCUCUUCAGGCAUAUUUCUCAGGUCAAGAUGAUUUUGCAGACAAACAGCAGAAGAGGGAAAUUACCUGUACUGAGCAUCUCUACACACAAGUCCCUGAGUUAAUGUUCUCCCUGCACUAGCUCAGGUGUCAGAGGAGCCUAGCCAGGCACACUCAGGAGCCCACUACUCAUCACUCUGAAACAUCGCUUCUCUCCAUGAAACUACAACCUCUGAAGAGAACAUCCCUCACCAGAGCUGGCCCAACUUUUCUCCACUGGACUCCCACUCCUGUUUCUCUUUCUUCCUCACCUCAAGUCUGGUCUUUGUUUUUGAAACCAGCUCCAGACUAUUCCUCAUGUUUAUGAGAUAAAGACUGUUCCUCAUAAUGCCUCAUAUAUGAAAACAUUUCUCAGGCAUAUACAGAGACAGAUGCCAUGGGAAGGGGAAACAUGAUCUUUCCCAACACUUUUUUGUCCUGCUGGGCUUCUCAGAGUUUCCAUGCCUGGAGAGGCCCCUCUCUGCAGUGGUCCUGAUCUCCUACCUCCUCACCCUUGUGGGGAACAGCUCUAUCCUCCUCCUCUCACUGGUGGACCCCAGACACCAGACACCCAUGUACUUCUUCCUGGACAAGUUCUCUAUACUGGACCUCAGUCUCACCAGCAUGAUUGUGCCUCAGCUUCUGGCCUACCUGUUAGGAACAGGCAAGACCAUUACUUCCUCCAGAUGCAUCACAAAGGUCUUUGUUUUCUGCUGGAUAAUAGCCAGUGAAUAUGCUCUGCUGGCCAUGAUACCCAUUAAUCACUAUGUGGCCAUGAGGUUCCUGUGUUCAUCAAGCUGGCCUGUGAAGACACCUCUGCUAAUGAGCUGGCCCUCACUGCAAUGACCAUCCCAUUUGGAAUGAUGUCUUCCCUGCUGGUAGUCAUCUCCUAUAUCUUCAUUGCAAGGGCUAUACUGAAGCUACCUUCAGAUGAAGGCAGGUACAAGGCACUAAGAACCUGCAGUUCCCAUCUGCUCAUUGUCACCAUGUACUUUGGGCCUGGCAUGUACUUUUACCUCAAGCCUUCAGCCAAGAGUUCCCAGGCCAAGUUCAUAUCCUUCUUUUGCUGUGUUAUUACCCCAUUACUCAACCCCUCUCAUCUACACCCUGAGAAGCAAGGAUGUUAAGACAGCAUGGAAGAGAAUACUGCAAAUCCAGGGCAGGGUGAAGUCUUUAAAAGCCCAAUCUCUGACUAUCACCUGAGCAACCACAGGCACACAUCCACAAGUACUGGCAAAUCACAACUACUUUCCCAAAAGAGUGCCUGUGAAUUUCAAGAAAGUGUUCUCAACUCUCUUGGUCAGUCACCUCAAUGUUUUAAAAAUCUCUUUGGGCUCAGAAGAUCCAUCAGUGUGACUCACAUUAACAGCCUGCCCCUUACUAAGGCCUUCAUAGGUAUCUGGUCCAUAGAGGAGGAAGCAGAACAAUUUCUAUGUCUUUGAGCUGGUGAGAAAUAAUCUUUUAUUCUUUCUUGCUUCUUCAUUUGUUUCUUUCCUCUGUUCUUUCUUCCUGUUAUUGUUUCUUUCUGUCUGUCUUAUUUUAACAUAACUGUUACUACAUAUUAAUUGUGCACUGCAGAGGCUCUGAUUUUAACACUUUUCUACAUGCAUAUAAUGUGUGUUGAUCACACCCACCCCCCCUUCUUCCCCCCUCCUAACUGCUCAGUCUUCUCCUGAGCACCUUUGCCUUCCCUAACAGUGCAUUUUCUCCUAUCAUGCUACCUUCUUCCCCCCACAUUCCCUACAUGACAAUAAAUACUGU
rnacentral:lncRNA from 1 species